GGGCUGGGCUAUUUUUUUUUUUUUUUUUUAUAUAGGCCUACAAAUUCAAUUUUUAUGGCAAAUUCACAGUACAGUAGAUAAAAAAAAAAUAGAUAAACGCAUUUUUAAAAAUGAAAUACGUUGUUUAUCUAAAGUCAUUUCUGCUUAUUAGCACGGUUGAAUUGGAUCAUCAAAGGUCCAUUGCAAAGACACAGCUUAAUAAAAUGAGAUAGCCUGUACAUAAAGGAUAUUUGUUUUAUUUAACACCUAUCGCAGGUUUGUGUCAUAGUCUGAGUUUGCAUUUCACUGCUUUUAUUAAUUUUGAGGAAUACUGAAUCUGUUUUUGUGCAAGUGAGAAAAGUAAAUGUCUAGAAUACAGUAACUUACUCCUGACUUCUCUCAACCUGGCAACACCAGAGCUGUCAGUCAACAGCCUAAAUGGGAAAACAAAGAGUAACUGGCAUACUUAUUUGAAAAAGUAACUGAUAUUUUCUUUUAAAUUAAAAUGUAAUAUGUUACUUGAGUCACUUGUCAAAAGUAAUUUGAUUACCUAACUUGUGUUACUUGCAUUACCCCCAACUGUAUUGCACUGAUGAAAUUAUUUUUAUUACAAAAGCAAAUAGAUUUCAAUGCACACUGAAGUUUGAGCAUGUUUGUCAGACGUCCACCAUAGACAAUGAAAGAACAACUGAUUCAACCAUUUUUAUUCUUUACAAAAUAAAUUAUUCAUAAAUUUAUUUAUUUAUCAGUAGGCCUAUACUGUACAUCAUGCAACCACUUCUACAAGAGCAGUUGUCUUAUAUAUAUAGAAAAUAAUAGUAAAACCCAGAUUUACAGCCAGGCAAACUCUUAAUUUCAGCAAUUUUCCAACCACUUGACUGUUUUAAAUGCUGCAUACAGAAAUGUAAUGAACAGUUGUCAUCCAGAAUUUCCACUCCUUGGAUUGUAUGCAGUUUAUUUCAUUUCAAACCUAAAAUGAAAACAAUACAGAUGUCAGAUCAGAGGGCCCCUCAUGGUUGGGUUUUUAUGCAAGUGUAAAGUGUGCAUUUAUGCAAGGGAAACAUAUUGAAAUGUUUCCUAUUCGUUCAUUUGCUUCCAAACCUGUUUUGAGUUUCUCCACGCUGAUAAACACACUGCCACAGUGCAUUAUUACUCACGGUACGAGUUUGAGUCUGGCCUAGCGCGUACCAAAAGUAAUAAUGGACUGUGAAGCAGAUAAAAAGGGCUCCUUUCUUCUCAUCAAGGCACGAUUUUGUAAAAUUAAACGGAGUAUCUGGUUUUAAAACAUGCAGAAUGUGAACAUAUUUGUGAUUUGCUACUAUUUUGCAUACUUUACCUUCUGCAGACUUAAGAAGUCUUCACUUUUCUUCAUAAGUGGCCCUCAGAGGUGCCCCAUUAAUCAUGAGAGGUUAAAUCCAUCCAUUGCUGCAGUGAUGGAGUAGAAAAACAUGAUGUAAUACUUCAAACAAUGCAGUAUUGUUAGACUAAUUAACAGAGACUUCUCUCUCAGAAAUGACAUCGAAAAGUUCCAGUCUAAUAAAGGUCACAAAACGAUUUUAAACGUGCAGCACACAAACCAUUCUAUACGAAGAUAAACACAAUCAGGAAACAAAUCAUUAAACAGUUCAACGCCCUGCUUAAUACUACAAUUUGCCAAUAGAGGGCGCAGUUUUAUAUAGCGUGGUCAGCUGACGUAGUGGGAUUAAAAAUGACAAAAAACUGUUUCUAAAAGGUUAAAUUUUUUAAAAUAAAUAAAACAACAAAAUGCUCUAUAAUUAUUGUAUAAUAUAUAAAAAAAAGAAGUAUCAUGUGAUCAUGUGAUUUCAUUCGAUCAAUCAUGUGAUCUAAUGAAAAAGGGAAAGUCUCACAUAAUGAUAGCAUUAUACUGCCAACAAGACAUCUAGAUUAUGCAUUAGGACAACUUUGGGAGUAAAGC
ensembl:lncRNA